rnacentral:rRNA from 1 species
UGCCUGGUAGUGGGGGAUAACUCGGGGAAACUCGAGCUAAUACCGCAUACGUCCUACGGGAGAAAGCGGGGGAUCUUCGGACCUCGCGCUAUCAGAUGAGCCUAGGUCGGAUUAGCUAGUUGGUGGGGUAAUGGCUCACCAAGGCGACGAUCCGUAACUGGUCUGAGAGGAUGAUCAGUCACACUGGAACUGAGACACGGUCCAGACUCCUACGGGAGGCAGCAGUGGGGAAUAUUGGACAAUGGGCGAAAGCCUGAUCCAGCCAUGCCGCGUGUGUGAAGAAGGUCUUCGGAUUGUAAAGCACUUUAAGUUGGGAGGAAGGGCAGUAAGUUAAUACCUUGCUGUUUUGACGUUACCGACAGAAUAAGCACCGGCUAACUCUGUGCCAGCAGCCGCGGUAAUACAGAGGGUGCAAGCGUUAAUCGGAAUUACUGGGCGUAAAGCGCGCGUAGGUGGUUCGUUAAGUUGGAUGUGAAAUCCCCGGGCUCAACCUGGGAACUGCAUUCAAAACUGACGAGCUAGAGUAUGGUAGAGGGUGGUGGAAUUUCCUGUGUAGCGGUGAAAUGCGUAGAUAUAGGAAGGAACACCAGUGGCGAAGGCGACCACCUGGACUGAUACUGACACUGAGGU